UCCUACGGGGGGCAGCAGUGAGGAAUAUUGGUCAAUGGGCGGAAGCCUGAACCAGCCAAGUCGCGUGAGGGACUAAGGCCCUGCGGGUCGUAAACCUCUUUUGCCGGGGAGCAGUGGUCCGGACGCGUCCGGACCGGGAGAGUACCCGGAGAAAAAGCAUCGGCUAACUCCGUGCCAGCAGCCGCGGUAAUACGGAGGAUGCGAGCGUUAUCCGGAUUUAUUGGGUUUAAAGGGUGCGUAGGCGGGCUUUUAAGUCAGCGGUAAAAAUUCGGGGCUCAACCCCGUCCGGCCGUUGAAACUGGGGG
rnacentral:rRNA from 1 species